UACGUAGGGGGCUAGCGUUGACCGGAUUUAUUGGGCGUAAAGAGCGUGUAGGCGGCCAGGUAGGUCUGCUGUGAAAACUCGAGGCUUAACCUCGAGAUGUCGGCGGAAACCAUCUGGCUAGAGUCCGGAAGAGGAGAGUGGAAUUCCUGGUGUAGCGGUGAAAUGCGUAGAUAUCAUUUGGAACGCCAAUGGUGAAAACAGGUAGCUGGGGCUGUGCUGACACUGAGACACGAAAGCCAGGGGAGCAAACGGG
rnacentral:rRNA from 1 species